GGUUAAGCGACUAAGCGUACACGGUGGAUGCCCUGGCAGUCAGAGGCGAUGAAGGACGUGCUAAUCUGCGAUAAGCGUCGGUAAGGUGAUAUGAACCGUUAUAACCGGCGAUUUCCGAAUGGGGAAACCCAGUGUGUUUCGACACACUAUCAUUAACUGAAUCCAUAGGUUAAUGAGGCGAACCGGGGGAACUGAAACAUCUAAGUACCCCGAGGAAAAGAAAUCAACCGAGAUUCCCCCAGUAGCGGCGAGCGAACGGGGAGCAGCCCAGAGCCUGAAUCAGUGUGUGUGUUAGUGGAAGCGUCUGGAAAGGCGCGCGAUACAGGGUGACAGCCCCGUACACAAAAAUGCACAUGCUGUGAGCUCGAUGAGUAGGGCGGGACACGUGGUAUCCUGUCUGAAUAUGGGGGGACCAUCCUCCAAGGCUAAAUACUCCUGACUGACCGAUAGUGAACCAGUACCGUGAGGGAAAGGCGAAAAGAACCCCGGCGAGGGGAGUGAAAAAGAACCUGAAACCGUGUACGUACAAGCAGUGGGAGCACGCUUCGGCGUGUGACUGCGUACCUUUUGUAUAAUGGGUCAGCGACUUAUAUUCUGUAGCAAGGUUAACCGAAUAGGGGAGCCGAAGGGAAACCGAGUCUUAACUGGGCGUUAAGUUGCAGGGUAUAGACCCGAAACCCGGUGAUCUAGCCAUGGGCAGGUUGAAGGUUGGGUAACACUAACUGGAGGACCGAACCGACUAAUGUUGAAAAAUUAGCGGAUGACUUGUGGCUGGGGGUGAAAGGCCAAUCAAACCGGGAGAUAGCUGGUUCUCCCCGAAAGCUAUUUAGGUAGCGCCUCGUGAAUUCAUCUCCGGGGGUAGAGCACUGUUUCGGCAAGGGGGUCAUCCCGACUUACCAACCCGAUGCAAACUGCGAAUACCGGAGAAUGUUAUCACGGGAGACACACGGCGGGUGCUAACGUCCGUCGUGAAGAGGGAAACAACCCAGACCGCCAGCUAAGGUCCCAAAGUCAUGGUUAAGUGGGAAACGAUGUGGGAAGGCCCAGACAGCCAGGAUGUUGGCUUAGAAGCAGCCAUCAUUUAAAGAAAGCGUAAUAGCUCACUGGUCGAGUCGGCCUGCGCGGAAGAUGUAACGGGGCUAAACCAUGCACCGAAGCUGCGGCAGCGACGCUUAUGCGUUGUUGGGUAGGGGAGCGUUCUGUAAGCCUGUGAAGGUGUGCUGUGAGGCAUGCUGGAGGUAUCAGAAGUGCGAAUGCUGACAUAAGUAACGAUAAAGCGGGUGAAAAGCCCGCUCGCCGGAAGACCAAGGGUUCCUGUCCAACGUUAAUCGGGGCAGGGUGAGUCGACCCCUAAGGCGAGGCCGAAAGGCGUAGUCGAUGGGAAACAGGUUAAUAUUCCUGUACUUGGUGUUACUGCGAAGGGGGGACGGAGAAGGCUAUGUUGGCCGGGCGACGGUUGUCCCGGUUUAAGCGUGUAGGCUGGUUUUCCAGGCAAAUCCGGAAAAUCAAGGCUGAGGCGUGAUGACGAGGCACUACGGUGCUGAAGCAACAAAUGCCCUGCUUCCAGGAAAAGCCUCUAAGCAUCAGGUAACAUCAAAUCGUACCCCAAACCGACACAGGUGGUCAGGUAGAGAAUACCAAGGCGCUUGAGAGAACUCGGGUGAAGGAACUAGGCAAAAUGGUGCCGUAACUUCGGGAGAAGGCACGCUGAUAUGUAGGUGAAGUCCCUCGCGGAUGGAGCUGAAAUCAGUCGAAGAUACCAGCUGGCUGCAACUGUUUAUUAAAAACACAGCACUGUGCAAACACGAAAGUGGACGUAUACGGUGUGACGCCUGCCCGGUGCCGGAAGGUUAAUUGAUGGGGUCAGCGCAAGCGAAGCUCUUGAUCGAAGCCCCGGUAAACGGCGGCCGUAACUAUAACGGUCCUAAGGUAGCGAAAUUCCUUGUCGGGUAAGUUCCGACCUGCACGAAUGGCGUAAUGAUGGCCAGGCUGUCUCCACCCGAGACUCAGUGAAAUUGAACUCGCUGUGAAGAUGCAGUGUACCCGCGGCAAGACGGAAAGACCCCGUGAACCUUUACUAUAGCUUGACACUGAACAUUGAGCCUUGAUGUGUAGGAUAGGUGGGAGGCUUUGAAGUGUAGACGCCAGUCUGCAUGGAGCCGACCUUGAAAUACCACCCUUUAAUGUUUGAUGUUCUAACGUUGACCCGUAAUCCGGGUUGCGGACAGUGUCUGGUGGGUAGUUUGACUGGGGCGGUCUCCUCCUAAAGAGUAACGGAGGAGCACGAAGGUUGGCUAAUCCUGGUCGGACAUCAGGAGGUUAGUGCAAUGGCAUAAGCCAGCUUGACUGCGAGCGUGACGGCGCGAGCAGGUGCGAAAGCAGGUCAUAGUGAUCCGGUGGUUCUGAAUGGAAGGGCCAUCGCUCAACGGAUAAAAGGUACUCCGGGGAUAACAGGCUGAUACCGCCCAAGAGUUCAUAUCGACGGCGGUGUUUGGCACCUCGAUGUCGGCUCAUCACAUCCUGGGGCUGAAGUAGGUCCCAAGGGUAUGGCUGUUCGCCAUUUAAAGUGGUACGCGAGCUGGGUUUAGAACGUCGUGAGACAGUUCGGUCCCUAUCUGCCGUGGGCGCUGGAGAACUGAGGGGGGCUGCUCCUAGUACGAGAGGACCGGAGUGGACGCAUCACUGGUGUUCGGGUUGUCAUGCCAAUGGCACUGCCCGGUAGCUAAAUGCGGAAGAGAUAAGUGCUGAAAGCAUCUAAGCACGAAACUUGCCCCGAGAUGAGUUCUCCCUGACCCUUUAAGGGUCCUGAAGGAACGUUGAAGACGACGACGUUGAUAGGCCGGGUGUGUAAGCGCAGCGAUGCGUUGAGCUAACCGGUACUAAUGAACCGUGAGGCUUAACCUU
rnacentral:rRNA from 1 species